UGGUGAUGAAAUUCAAACAAACAGCUGGAAUUACCGGCAGAUUGUUUAGUGGUGACGCUUUGUUUUCUGAAC
ensembl:snoRNA